rnacentral:lncRNA from 1 species
AGUUCCGGGGCGCCGUCAGACAUCGCUGCGGCCGGGAUAGGGCGCCGCCGUUCUGGCCGGCUUUCUCGGUGCCCUGGAGGACCUGGCCGGCUCCGCGGGAAGCUGUACUCAGAGCGCGCGGCCGCCCUCUGGCAGGGAGGAGUUCGUUGCACUUUUGAGGGUUCUUCACGAAGACAUCCAAUACAUAGAAAACAAGUAACAGCAACAGUAACGAAUUUUUAAAUAUUAAAAUUGCUGGGGAACACGACGGAUCCUGCAGCUGCUCGGCUGUCCCGGUCGUCAGUGACGCUAGGGCUCCGCACCGUACCCUGCAUACCGUAGGUGCUCACGAAACGUUCGUGAGUUCCCUGCUCUGAGGAAACAAGCUUAAAAACUCAGAAUCUAAGGUGUGAGUCUCCGCAAACCUGCUUGUUGGGCAGCGUCCCCCGCCCGGGCUAGCCCUGCACGCCCCACCCCGGAGCCACGCUUCUCCAGCCGGGACCCCUGCCUCCUUCCAGGCUAUUCUCGGAACCGCAGCCAGAGGGAAUUUUUUUUUCCUUUCCUGAAACGUAGAGCAGAUCUGGUUACUCUUCUGCACAACGCCCUAAAAUCUAGGGCCCUUCCCAUCCCUCAGAAUUUACAUCUAAUUCUCAGCUCCCCUCCGGCUUGCUGUAGCCAUCCUGGCUUUUGUUUAGCACAGCACUUACUGUUAGUGACAUUAUAUUGUAUAUUAUUAACAUAUUUGUGUUUUACAUCCCUCACUAGACCCCCAGGAAAGAGGCUUUGAUGUGUUGCCUGCUGCAAGGCUGGCUGCAUAAUUUGUGGAGCUCAGAGAAAAGUGCGGAGCUUCCUUGUUCAAAAAACAGAAAGAAAGUGCCUCUGAGGUCAUAAAAUAUAAAACUUUCUCUUUCCUCUCAGUUUCUCUCUUUUCAUAGUGUUUUUAUGUGUUAUUUAAUAUCAUUCCAAGAAAAAUUUAGAUUUAAAUUGUUAGCAUGAAGUUCACCAUCCAUCUUUACGUUGUGCAAUGCCAGUUUUAAAUACUAAUAUAAGUGCACUGAUCUCAUAUGUGGAAUCACAGAAAUUAUGCAAUUUGUACUUCAUAGCUUAUACAUGCAUAUAGAUUUUGUUUUUACCAGAACCACGCUGGUAAAAACAGAUGCUGCACAAAGUGAACUUGCCCGUUUUCAUCGCACUUUACGUGCACGAAUUCUACCUCUACUCUCGACCUGGGACUCACCGAUGCGUAAGGAAGGACUGAAAAGCAAAAGAACUAUGGACUGGCCUUUUGGCAUGAUCAGGUGUCUAAUAUAAAGAAGUGCAUGAAUAAGAAAAUAUAUGAUAUGAGUGAUGGUUAAUACUGACUGUCAACUUGAUUGGAUUGAAGGAUGCAAAGUAUUGAUCCUGGGUGUGUCUGUGAGGGUGUUGCCAAAGGAGAUUAACAUUUGAGUCAGUGGGCUGGGAAAGUUCGACCCACUGUUAAUCUAGAUGGACACCAUCUAAUCAGAUGCCAGUGCAGCUAGAAAUGUAAAGCAGACAGAAAAAUGCGAAAAGAGAGACUGGCCUAGCCUGCCAGCCUACAUCUUUCUCCCACGCUGGAUGCUUCCUGCCCUCGAACAUCAGACUCCAAGUUCUUCAGUUUGGGACUUGGACUGGCUCUCCUUGUUCCUCAGCUUGAAGACUGCCCAUUGUGGGACUUGUGAUCAUGUGCCAUGAUAAAUAAGCCAGUUUGAGUCACUUGGUCUAAUAUCGAGACCACGAACAUAUUGAUCACAGAAUGUGUUAGGUAAGCAUGUUGUUGACUGAAGUGUAAGUAAGGUGCUCACCUUAAAUGCAUGUGCCAACAUCAGCAUCUUCAGAAGAGUCUCUUUCCCUUUGGGACAUCGAGGUGACUGACAGUUAAACAAGCCGUAUUUGGAGUAGGUGUACAAUCAGCCUCCUUCCAGUUCUCCUUGGCACUUUCCAGUUCACAAAGGACACUUCACUCCUUUUUGGUUUUUUUGAGACAGGGUCUCACUCUGUCACCCAGGCUAGAGUACGGUGGUGAGAUCACCCCUCACUGCAACCUCCGUCUCCUGGGCUCAAGUGAUCCUCCCACCUCAGCCUCCCAAGUAGCUGGUACCACAGGUGCAUGCCACCACACCUGGCUGAUUUUUGUAUUUUGUGUAGAAGGGGGUAUUGCCCUAUCGCCUAGGCUGGAAGGCUGUUAAGAGGAGAACUGAGCAAUGAGGAUCCCAUCCUGGACUUCGCAGACUUGCUGUGCUUUUGAAUGCUUCUCUCACGGUCAGAGCCUGCACUGGAAAAGAUGGCAUUUGGGACAACACACCUGGCUGCUGCCCCAGGAAGAAAGUAGUGAACACUGGAGGACUGUCAGCCCUGUCAGUUUCUGGAAAUGUGCCCUGAGUUUAAGUUCUGGUUUCAGAUUAUGAGGAGCAAAAUUACUGAGUAGGCCUCCUCCUAGAACAGGAAGCUCUUCCCGCUGUGGGCCAGUGGCUCUGACAUAUCACAGAGCCUGCUCUGAUGAAGGCAGCAGGAAUGAUUUCAAAACAAGCAAAACCAAAGAAAACUGUUUGACAAUGGAAGUAAUAGAGGCUCAUUUUAGAAAACAUAGACAUAAAGAAAAAAAGAAGAAUCUUCCAUAACCCACAGAUUAUAACUACUUACAUACCUUCCAGGCUUUAUUUCUCUUUUUUAAAAAACAAAUGUUAAAGUGGAAUUUACCUAUAAAAAAGAUACAGGUCCUAAGAGCACAGCUUGGCUUGAUCAAUUUUCUCAAGUUGAAUGCACCUGUGCAAUCAGUGCCAGGCUGAACACACAGCCUCAGCAGCGCCUGGAAGCUUUUCCAAGCCUCCUUAUUGUCAUCCCUCCCUCCCCAGGGGUAGCUGCGAUCACUGUAGCUUUGGUCUGAACUAUAUAUAAAUGCAAUCAUGCCACGUUAUGUUUCUGAGACUCACCCACACCCUGGCAAGCCAUUGCAGUUUGUUUAUUCUCAAUGUUCUACAAGCAGCAGUCCCCAAGCUUUUUGGCACCGGGGACCAGUCUCAUGGAGGACGAUUUUUCCGCAGACCAGGUGGGGAUGGUUUUGGAAUGAUUCAAGCACAUUCCAUUUAUUGUGCACUUUAUUUCUAUUACUGUUGCAUUGUAAUAUAUAAUGAAAUAAUUAUAUAACUCACCAUAAUGUAGAAUCAGUGGGAACCCUGAGCUUGUUUUCCCCCAUCUAGAUGGUUUCAUCUAGGGGUGGGGGGAUGAAAGACAGUGACAGAUUAUCAGGUAUUAGAUUCUCAUAAGAAGCUUGCAACCUGGAUUCUUCGCAUGCUUAGUUCACAGUAGGGUUCACGCUCCUAUGAGAAUCUAAUGCUGCCACAGAACUGACAGGAGGCAGAGCUCAGAUGGUAAUGCUCACUUGCCCACUGCUCACCUCCUGCUGUGCAGCCCUGUUCCUUACAGGCCAUGGACUGGUACCACACAACUAUUUGGCCAUAGCUACAAAAGCUGAUUACAGGUGUAAUUACAGAUUACAUCACUAUUACAUAGCCUACAAAGAGGUUUAAUUGGACUUAUAAGUCCACAUGACUAGGGAAGCUUCACAAUCAUGGCGGAAGGCAAGGAGGAGCAAGUCACAUCUUACAUGGAGGGCAGCAGGCAAAGAGAGAGCUUGUGCAGGGAGACUCAUUUUUCAAAACCAUCAGAUCUUGUGAGACUUAUUCACUAUCAUAAGAACAGUGUGGGAAUUACAAAUUACAUAGCUAUGUAGUUACAAAUUACAUAGCUAAUUACACCUGUAAUCAACUUUUGUAGCUAUGGCCAAAUAGUUUUCCCAAGUGGUUGCACCAAUUUACACUCCCACCAACAGUACAUGAUCCUGCUGGCAGCUCAAUCUACAUUCUUAUUAACUGCAUUAGUCCAUUUUCACGUUGCUGAUAAAGACAUACCUGAGACUGGGCAAUUUACAAAAGAAAGAGGUUUAAUUGGACUCACAGUGUGUGACUGGGGAAGCCUCACAAUCAUGGUGGAAGGCAAGGAGGAGCAAGUCACGUCUUAUGUGGAUGGCAGCAGGCAAAGAGAGAGCUUGUGCAGGGAGACUACCAUUUUUCAAAACCAUCAGAUCUUGUGAGACUUAUUCACUCUCAUGGAACAGCAUGGGAAAGACCUGCCCCCACAAUUCAAUUACCUCGCACCAGGUACCUCCCACAACACAUGGGAAUUCAAGAUGAGAUUUGGGUGGGGACACAGCCAAACCAUAUCAUCGACCCUUUGUUUUUCCCCAUCUUUUUCAUUUUAGCCAUUCUUUUCAUGUGUAUUAGACAUUUGGAUAGCCUCAUUUGUGAAAUGUCUCAUUUUUUCUACUAGGCUUUUCAUCUCUUUAUUGAUCUAAAACAUUUUUAAUAUAUUAGACAUAUGUAUUGCAAAUCUCUUCUUCUACUGUGGAAGUGGCUUUCAUUUCUAUUCAUUUCAGACUGUUUUAAUGCUAUCUUAUUUCUUUCUUUAUGAUUCAGCACUCUUUGUGUCCUGCUUAAGAACUCUUUGUC